AGUGAACGUUGGCGGCGUGCCUAACACAUGCAAGUCGUACGAUACUCAAGGAGCUUGCUUCUUGGGAAAAGUGGCGAACGGGUGAGUAACACGUGAGUAACCUGCCCUCGAGCGGGGAACAACUUCGCGAAAGCGAAGCUAAUACCGCAUAAUACUCCGGAGCAUAAGCUUUCGGAGUCAAAGCUUUCGAGCGCUUGAGGAUGGGCUCGCGGCCUAUUAGCUAGUUGGUAGGGUAACGGCCUACCAAGGUGACGAUGGGUAGCCGGCCUGAGAGGGUGAUCGGCCACACUGGAACUGCGACACGGUCCAGACUCCUACGGGAGGCAGCAGUGGGGAAUUUUGCGCAAUGGGCGAAAGCCUGACGCAGCGACGCCGCGUGGAGGAUGACGGCCUUCGGGUUGUAAACUCCUGUCAGAGGUGAAGAAAUCU
rnacentral:rRNA from 1 species